rnacentral:rRNA from 1 species
GAUGAACGCUAGCGGCAGGCUUAAUACAUGCAAGUCGAGGGGCAGCGCAGUGUAGCAAUACAUGGGCGGCGACCGGCAAACGGGUGCGGAACACGUACAGAACCUUCCUUCGAGCGGGGAAUAGCCCAGAGAAAUUUGGAUUAAUACCCCAUAGUAUAUCGGAGUGGCAUCACUUUGAUAUUAAAGAUUUAUCACUUGAAGGUGGCUGUGCGGCUGAUUAGGUAGUUGGCGGGGUAACGGCCCACCAAGCCUGCGAUCAGUAACUGGUGUGAGAGCACGACCAGUCACACGGGCACUGAGACACGGGCCCGACUCCUACGGGAGGCAGCAGUAAGGAAUAUUGGUCAAUGGACGAAAGUCUGAACCAGCCAUGCCGCGUGGAGGAUGAAGGUCCUCUGGAUUGUAAACUUCUUUUAUCUGGGACGAAAAAGGGUCUUUCUAGAUCAACUGACGGUACCAGAUGAAUAAGCACCGGCUAACUCCGUGCCAGCCGCCGCUGUAAGAC